rnacentral:rRNA from 1 species
ACACGGUUCAUCGCCACAAAGCAACCAACGCCUCCCCCAAAUUCAGGAGCCAUCGAUCGACAGAGAAGCGUGCUAGUGCCACACGCUUACGCUUUCUUGGUUCUUGUUCGCUCGAUCAUCGUCGUCUGCCGAUCGAUCAAUCAUGGUGGCGUGGAGGGAGAGCUACCUGGACCUCAUCCUGAUCCCACUGGGGCUCCUCCUCCCGGCGCUGUACCACGCCUGGCUGUGGCGCGCGGUGCGGCGCCGCCCGCUCUCCACGGCCUUCGGCGUCUACUCGGCGGCGCGCCGGCUCUGGGCGGCCGGCAUGAUGCGGGACAACGACGACAAGAAGGGGGUGCUGGUGGUGCAGUCGAUCCGGAACGUCAUCAUGGGGUCCACGCUCAUGGCCACCACCUCGGUGCUCUUCUGCACCGGCAUCGCCGCCGUGCUCAGCAGCACCUACUCGGUGAAGAAGCCGCUGAGCGACGCCGUGUUCGGCGCGCACGGGGAGUACAUGAUGGCGCUCAACUUCCUCAUCAACACCUCCUGCCUCCCCCUCCCCGACGCCGAAAAGGACGACGACGGCGCCCGCCUGGUCGGCCUGCAGCUGCCGGCCGGCGCCGUGAGCGACUACGUGGGCGAGAUCCUCGAGAGGAGCUUCACGCUCAACUUCGUGGGCAACAGGCUCUUCUACGCCGGGGUGCCCCUCCUGCUCUGGAUCUUCGGCCCGCUGCUCGCCUUCCUCUCCUCCCUCGUCAUGAUCCCGAUACUCUACAACCUCGACAUGGUGAACGUCGCCGGCGACAGAGGGACGAAGGAGCACAGCAGCGGCUGCGUCAACGGCAAGGCGAACGGGAACGGCUGCAUGCAAGUCUGAUCAAUCGAUGAUCGUCGGAAGCAAGUGCAGUGCAGUGCAGUCAGCCAGAGGAAGACGAAGGCGUUUCGAUCAGUCCGAUCCCCUGCCCCUUUUACAUGAUGAUUAUGCACCAUGAACUGAUGUUACAGUAGACUGCCACAUUGGUAGUGCAGUGCAGCACAGCACAUCUCUGAACCUGGGAAGGUACUACUAGUACUAGCUUUCUUUUCAUCCAGACAAGUCGGGAGGGGGUUUCUUGUCAGCUAGUCGGUUUCUGGCUUGUCAGUAGCUGCGGUGCGUGUCGUGUGGAUCGAGUUAGUUGUACUACCAGAAAUUCGGAAUGACAUGGAACCCAUGCGUAUCAUAGCAGAUGGUACGGGCUGCCUGCCCUUUUCCUGGGUGUUCGGUUGGGUUUGGUUCAUGGUGGAGUGACAGUGUGACAAUGUAUGCCUGGCGAUGCCACUACAGGGCGUGUAUCUGUAGGCAUAUUCCGAGCUGGCUUUAUCCCUGUGGAUCUGUUUGUCCCGCUUAUUUUGACACUGCUGCAGCAAGAGUGUGCUCCGCGAUCCCGGUUUAUUGUCGGCUCACAACAACUAACAACUGUAACACCCCUAACAAACACAAUUGUAAGAG